GACGAACGUUGGCGGCGUGCUUAACACAUGCAAGUCGAACGGUAAGGCUCCAGCUUGCUGGGGUACACGAGUGGCGAACGGGCGAGUAACACGUGGGUGACCUGCCCUGCACUUCGGGAUAAGCCUGGGAAACUGGGUCUAAUACCGGAUAGGACCGCACCGUGAGGGUGUGGUGGAAAGUUUUUUCGGUGUGGGAUGGGCCCGCGGCCUAUCAGCUUGUUGGUGGGGUAAUGGCCUACCAAGGCGGCGACGGGUAGCCGGCCUGAGAGGGUGGACGGCCACAUUGGGACUGGGACACGGCCCAGACUCCUACGGGAGGCAGCAGUGGGGAAUAUUGCACAAUGGGCGGAAGCCUGAUGCAGCGACGCCGCGUGGGGGAUGACAGCCUUCGGGUUGUAAACUCCUUUCACCAUCGACGAAGGGUUUCUGACGGUAGAUGGAGAAGAAGCACCGGCUAACUACGUGCCAGCAGCCGCGGUAAUACGUAGGGUGCGAGCGUUGUCCGGAAUUACUGGGCGUAAAGAGCUCGUAGGUGGUUUGUCGCGUCGUCUGUGAAAUUCCGGGGCUUAACUCCGGGCGUGCAGGCGAUACGGGCAUAACUUGAGUACUGUAGGGGAGACUGGAAUUCCUGGUGUAGCGGUGAAAUGCGCAGAUAUCAGGAGGAACACCGGUGGCGAAGGCGGGUCUCUGGGCAGUAACUGACGCUGAGGAGCGAAAGCAUGGGGAGCGAACAGGAUUAGAUACCCUGGUAGUCCAUGCCGUAAACGGUGGGCGCUAGGUGUGGGUUUCCUUCCACGGGAUCCGUGCCGUAGCUAACGCAUUAAGCGCCCCGCCUGGGGAGUACGGCCGCAAGGCUAAAACUCAAAGGAAUUGACGGGGGCCCGCACAAGCGGCGGAGCAUGUGGAUUAAUUCGAUGCAACGCGAAGAACCUUACCUGGGCUUGACAUAUACAGGAUCGCGCCAGAGAUGGUGUUUCCCUUGUGGCUUGUAUACAGGUGGUGCAUGGUUGUCGUCAGCUCGUGUCGUGAGAUGUUGGGUUAAGUCCCGCAACGAGCGCAACCCUUGUCUUAUGUUGCCAGCACGUUGUGGUGGGGACUCGUAAGAAACUGCCGGGGUUAACUCGGAGGAAGGUGGGGAUGACGUCAAAUCAUCAUGCCCCUUAUGUCCAGGGCUUCACACAUGCUACAAUGGUCGGUACAGUGGGUUGCCAGUCCGUGAGGGCGAGCUAAUCCCGCAAAGCCGGUCUCAGUUCGGAUCGGGGUCUGCAACUCGACCCCGUGAAGUCGGAGUCGCUAGUAAUCGCAGAUCAGCAACGCUGCGGUGAAUACGUUCCCGGGCCU
rnacentral:rRNA from 1 species